rnacentral:rRNA from 1 species
UACGUAGGGUCCGAGCGUUGUCCGGAAUUACUGGGCGUAAAGAGCUUGUAGGCGGUUCGUCGCGUCGAUUGUGAAAACUUGGGGCUCAACUCCAAGCUUGCAGCCGAUACUGCCGGACUAGAGUUCGGAAGAGGCGAGUGGAAUUCCCGGUGUAGCGGUGAAAUGCGCAGAUAUCGGGAGGAACACCUAUGGCGAAGGCAGCUCGCUGGGACGUUACUGACGCUGAGACGCGAAAGCGUGGGGAGCAAACAGG